rnacentral:rRNA from 1 species
GGCGCUUAUUGAUGGGUGUGCGGCUGAUUAGAUAGUUGGCGGGGUAACGGCCCACCAAGUCUACGAUCAGUAGCUGAUGUGAGAGCAUGAUCAGCCACACGGGCACUGAGACACGGGCCCGACUCCUACGGGAGGCAGCAGUAAGGAAUAUUGGUCAAUGGACGCAAGUCUGAACCAGCCAUGCCGCGUGAAGGAUUAAGGUCCUCUGGAUUGUAAACUUCUUUUAUCUGGGACGAAAAAAGGCGAUUCUUCGUCACUUGACGGUACCAGAUGAAUAAGCACCGGCUAACUCCGUGCCAGCAGCCGCGGUAAUACGGAGGGUGCAAGCGUUAUCCGGAUUCACUGGGUUUAAAGGGUGCGUAGGCGGGCAGGUAAGUCAGUGGUGAAAUCCUGGAGCUUAACUCCAGAACUGCCAUUGAUACUAUCUGUCUUGAAUAUUGUGGAGGUAAGCGGAAUAUGUCAUGUAGCGGUGAAAUGCUUAGAUAUGACAUAGAACACCUAUCGCGAAGGCAGCUUACUACGCAUAUAUUGACGCUGAGGCACGAAAGCGUGGGGAUCAAACAGGAUUAGAU